rnacentral:rRNA from 1 species
GUGAGCAUAAAGGACCUCUAGCCGCGCCGGUCGAACCGAAACAGCAGUGAUCAUGGUGGUGAUAAUUGGUUAGAAAAUGCCGCCGACCGGCCGGGCCCUAUAAGUACAGACGAGAAAAAGAGGCCGGUGUCGGGGGUAGGUGUGCGCGUCACCUUGCUGUUUCGGACCGACCACUCGUGUUUCGAAAUCCGAUGCGAAUCGAUUCGCUCGCUCGGUCGGUCAUUCAUGAUGAUGUCGCGCAUCGUAAUCCAGCGGAAGCAACCUGACAACGCACUCGAUAUAGUGGGGAGAGCAGAGGAGAGAGGGGGGAGCGAGGGUGGGGAAGGGGUUUUAGCAGUUGGGUCAAACCACCCAGCGUCGCGCCGGCACAGCCCGCCUGACGAGACGGCCUCCCUUCCUUCCUCGGCAGUACGCCCCCCAGCGGCCGCCACCGCCCCGGGGCCCGGCCGGCGCCACCCCGCCGCCGAGCCCGCGGUGCUGCGGCGCGAGCGAGUCGUGGCCGAGGAGCGGCGCGCCGAGGCUGGCGUCGAGGCUGCUGCCGCUCCUCGAGCAGCUCCAGUGCGAGCUGGACGUCCUCCUGCUGUGGUAACACGACGCGUCGCAGCUCGGCCGGCGGCGGCGUUUGCGGUUGCGCCGGCGAAGACGGCGGCGGAGCAGCAGCCCCCGCAGCGGCAGCCACUACCCUACCUCGCGCCUCGGUUGCGGUGGCGGGCCCCGCCCGGGCAGCGCCAGCGCCAGCGGCCGCUAGGCCGCCUGGAGCAGCGUGGCCGACGACGUCAAGAGCGUCCUCGAGUUCCGGCCCCACAGGGCGCGGUUCGUUUAGAGCGUCCUGGAGUGGUUCGCGAAGUGCGCGUGGGUCUCGGCGCGGCGGGAGCGGCUCGGGGGAGUCGGGGGCGGCCGGCGCGUGGGCGGCAGCCCGUAGCUCAGGCGGGAGCGGCGGGCGCGGCUCGCGGCGGUCGCGCGCGUCGAGCUGGCGUGGUUCAGGUGGCGCGUCGCGCGGUAGUUCCCAGACGCGAAGUAGUCGCCGUUGUGGUUCCGGUCGUUGUUGCGGACCUAGCUCCAGGUCGCGUUGAAGCUGGCGGAGCGGGAGCUGCCGGCGGAGAGGGCGCGGCUGAAGGGCGUUACGUAUCCCUACUACCUCAGGUUCCUCAAGCGGUACCUCGAGAAGCUGUGCGACACGGCCGCCGCCGUCUACGUCAGCCUGGUGUAGUUGUCCCUCCUCGACGCGCUCUAGACCAGCGUCUAGUGGCUGUUGUCGAAACUGAGCGCGGAGGUCUAGAAGAAGCUGUACCACCUGUUCCUGCGGCUGCCGGUGUAGUGCCUCCGCCUCCACUUUCUCUAGUAGUACGAUUCACGCAGGCGCUUAUUCGACCGCUCCGAAUUCCUCGUUCGUCUCCUUAUGCGGCGCAACUAGUACCUCCUCGAUCUGGGGCUUCCGGAGCCGAUGUAACUCGAAACCGUCAACCUCUGCAACGAUGACGUCUUCCUAUGUAUGCACUUGAUAUCGGUCCGGAACUCGAUGUGUUCGGUCCGUGACUCGGUCUUGGAACGACCGGAUUCCGUGUUCUCGGGCUAGGCUUUUUACUCGUCGUUUAAUUCGAUAAUAGACCUCCUGUUAACCUUUGCGGAGACCCAUGAACGUGACACCUAACCCUAUUACCGACCUAACAAGUAAACCUUUAAAUAGGUCAUGGCGUUAGCCAUGCAUAAAUCACACUACCCGAUGACACAUUGUUAACGUUUCCCCCGACGACUCUGGGAAUUCGACUUGUACCGUGAGUAGGAGGAUGGACAUACGGCGUUGUGGUAAUGAACCGACGCAUUAUGUUCUCGACGUGCCCGUAAUGGCAAGCUACUGUUGUAGUUGAAGGUAUUCUGAUAACGCCGCCGUUAACACCAACCACAAUAGGAAGUACGUCCUUUGGUAGAACGUACACUAAAAGGUGCCGAAUAUCUAAGGAGUCUACUCUGCAUACGAGGUGACGCGGUCAUGAAGCCCCUCUGGUUCGGUUGUAUAAACCGAAAUCAGUCUCCUCACCUCCCACAUUGGCCUCAAUAAUACCAACAGACGUACGAGUAACGAAAAUGAGAUCGUUGGUCCACCAAGGCAGCAUCGGACCACUUCGAAGGGUUCGGUAAACUGUUCGAUUGACCGAAGUUACGGAAGACCAUGAGGGUAGUAGACAAGUAGUAACAUAUGUAUAGUGAACAAUAAGUACCUCUCGCAGAUAUGGAAUAGGACCUAACCAUGUUUUCUUGCUGUACCUACAUAGAACGUCAGGGACAACCCAAUAUACAUCCCCUCUCCUGAGACUCCAAGAAGUCCAGACCGUCAAUGAGACAGGCCUAUAACUUCCACCGGUAUAUAGGACCAUUACAAAACUGUAACGUUUACAGAUUCGGUGGCUGUAAGGCAAUGUUCUCGCCCGUCAUAUACAAACAAGUUACAGGUCGACAAAGUGGUAAACUUACCGUAGGGAAGAGCUAUUGAAGUCGUGGGCCCCUACUAAAAGAGUCAUAGGUACAGGCUGUUGAACCACUGACCUGCGCUCUCGAGUUCGCACAUAAGAGGCGUCGAACACUCGGUGGAUACUUACCCUUUUCACCGGAGGAAUCUCGUCUACUCUUGUGGUUUUUUUGAAAGGGUUUUGAAAACUAACUACCUGGCAUACCAAGAGGACGUGUUCUGAUAUCGUUCAUACUACAAAAUGAUGAACAACCCAAUCCUUAACCACGUUGAGGAAAGUAGUCGUAUAACUUUCUAGACUAAUUGUUGUAGUAGUUUUACCUCCUUCUCCUACUUCGGAGUUGACUAGAAAUGGGUGGUUAGCCUGGGUCAUUCCGUAGACAACUGGAACUGUGGGAAUACUCCUAAUGCAGUUUUGGUUUCUCCCAAAAAUUCUGUUGUUUACGAAUGAAAAUAACCCACUGUGCGCUCGUUCCGAGAAAACUAACCAAAUUUCCUUAGUACUUACUCUAACGACUUGAUCUAGUUUCCUUAUAGUAACUCUACGUGUUGAUAGAGUGUUCACAAAUACUCCUUCCUCUACGGGCCAGUCGUGAGUAGUGUUACGACGUUCGAGAGUUGGUACGGUUCUUGCCGCAGCUACAUCACAGACCUUGAGCUCACGCCUGUGUAAAACGUUCUGGUUUAAAAUUCUCCCACGACAGAUUCCAUCGGAGGUUCGUAGGAAUACGGUUCUAUCCUCACAAGAUAACGCCUCGAGGCCAAGACCGCGUCCUUGAUUCGUUGGAAACGGUACUCAAGUUACCGUUUACGUGCUGUUUUAAACUUAAGGUGUUCCUCGUAAAGACUUUGGUCCAUUUGGCGUGUUAUCCUUUAAUUGUGUCCUAACACAACAUACAUACAGCAGAAACGAACAACGCGCGGUCUGAAACCCCUCGUUCCCUUUCUUAGUGGAUCACGAAACAGCCACGUGACUAACGGUCAAUGCGUUACAAUGAGUUCUUUCCUUCGGCCCCUAGUCGACCAUCAUGUAUGUAAUGUGUAGUUAGUACCUAAGUCUUCAUAUAUAGUGACAGCACGACCACUACUGGCGUGGAGACAUUUUAGAGGAUAUACGCCUACGCCUCAGCUGUGUUUCUGUGACUAGAGGACUUAUACCAAAUACCAAAACUGAUGUACGACCCACUACACUACAUCCUGUUAUCCCUUCCGGUGGUGUCCGUGUUCCGAUUCAUUGACACAUAUAAACGAACAUCGACUCAACAGUCCGGUGUUCAAACCAAGAAGAGUGAAACAUUAAUAUGUCUGCCUUUGUGUCCGUCCCCCUCAUGUCAUGUCAAACUAAGAAAAGAAGAGAAACAUACAUUUUUCAAAUCCAACCAUCACUAACCCAGGCCUAACUCCUGUACUUACCUGAUGUAAGCUCGAACACAACAAACAACACGGUGCUAUCCUAUUGUACG